GACGAACGCUGGCGGCGUGCCUAAUACAUGCAAGUCGAGCGGACUGAUUAAGAGCUUGCUCUUAUGACGUUAGCGGCGGACGGGUGAGUAACACGUGGGCAACCUGCCCUGUAGAUCGGGAUAACACCGAGAAAUCGGUGCUAAUACCGGGUAAUAUCUGAGAUCACAUGAUCUUAGGUUAAAAGAUGGCUCCGGCUAUCACUACAGGAUGGGCCCGCGGCGCAUUAGCUAGUUGGUAAGGUAAUGGCUUACCAAGGCGACGAUGCGUAGCCGACCUGAGAGGGUGAUCGGCCACACUGGGACUGAGACACGGCCCAGACUCCUACGGGAGGCAGCAGUAGGGAAUCUUCCGCAAUGGACGAAAGUCUGACGGAGCAACGCCGCGUGAGUGAUGAAGGGUUUCGGCUCGUAAAGCUCUGUUGUUAGGGAAGAAACAGUACCGAACGAACGAGGUCGGUACCUUGACGGUACCUAACCAGAAAGCCACGGCGAACUACGU
rnacentral:rRNA from 1 species